rnacentral:misc_RNA from 1 species
AGAUUACGUAGAUCUCAUUGCUAAGCUGGUUGCCCUGUACAUGGUGACAAAUAGGUUGCUUUUGGCCCAUGGAUUUGGUUGUUUGGGAGUCUAAUGAUGGAAAAGGAUGAUUUAGUGGUGAAAUAUUGUGGUGUUGUGUGUUUUAAAUGAAAUUAAAUCAAUUUUUUUGGGAUCGUGAGAACGUAGACCGAGUGAAGAAAGUAGUCUUUGAAAUAUUUAAGGGGGGAGAAAACGGGGCAAUUUUUGAGUAUACGUGGCGUCUUUAGUUUAUGCAAUGAGAUUGUGCGGACCAAAU